rnacentral:rRNA from 1 species
UACGUACUGUGCGAACGUUAUUCGGAAUCACUGGGCUUAAAGCGUGCGCAGGCGGUUGUGCAAGACAGGUGUGAAAUCCCCGGGCUUAACCUGGGAACUGCACUUGUGACUGCACGGCUGGAGUACGGCAGAGGGGGAUGGAAUUCCGCGUGUAGCAGUGAAAUGCGUAGAUAUGCGGAGGAACACCGAUGGCGAAGGCAGUCCCCUGGGCCUGUACUGACGCUCAUGCACGAAAGCGUGGGGAGCAAACAGG